GUAAUGUCGAAAUAUCAUAUACUCAAUACAUAGGUAUAUGAAGAAGACCUGGCGAAGUGAAACAUCUCAGUAACCAGAGGAACAGAAAGAAACAUAUAUCAUCUUUUUUCUCUACGAGUAACGAUCUCUUUUAUAAGGGUUAGUUGCUCGUAUUGGAAAAUUUGAUUUCGAUUCCGUGAGUAGUGGCGAACGAAAGCGGAACAGCCCAAACCUAUACUGUGUUGUAUUAUUAAUUUUAAUGUCCUCGGAUGUUUUUUGCGAUAAUACUUAAAGGACAGGCCGUUGCAGAAUAGGUGUUGUAGGAUAUAACGUAGGUUACCUGAUAGACCUGGUUAUGUAUAUUAUUUAUAGCUGAAGACUCCUGGAACGGAGCUCCACAGACGGUGAUAGACCCGUAGGCGAAAUAUAUUUUAUACAUUUCUGUUAUAUUCCUGAGUAGGGCGGGACACGUGAAACCCCGUCUGAACCCGCCGCGACUAUGCGGUAAGGCUAAAUACGUUUUGUGAUCGAUAGUGAACUAGUACCGUGAGGGAAAGGUGAAAAGUAGCCCGGAGAGGGCGAUGAAAUAGUAUUUGAAACCAUGUGCUUACAAAGAGCAGGAGUCCUAAGUCACUUUUGUGACGGGAUGACUGUAUUCCUAUUGAAGAAUGAGCCUGCGAGUUACUCAACGUGGCAAGGUUAAGCUCCUUUGGAGCGGAGCCAUAGGGAAACCGAGUCUGAAUAGGGCGUUAAGUCUCGUUGAGUAGACCCGAAACUGAGUGAGCAAUCCAUGACCAGGGUGAGUCUUGAUGAUAAAUCAAGAGGAGGCCCGAACCCACGCGCCGUGCAACACGCGGGGAUGAGUUGUGGAUAGCGGAGAAAUUCCAAUCGAACUCAGUAAUAGCUGGUUCUCCUCGAAAUAGCUUUAGGGCUAGCUGUAUGUGUUCCUUCUGGGGGUAGAGCACUGGAUGGAAAGUGGGUCCUUCGGGAUACCCUUUCCAAUCAAACUCCGAAUACCAGAAGUCAAAAACAUGCAAGUUAGACUAUGGGGGCUAAGCUUCAUAGUCGAAAGGGAAACAGCCCAGAUCGUCAAUUAAGGUCCCUAAAUCACUGCUAAGUGUUAAAGGUGGUGUUAAUUCUUAUACAACCAGGAAGUUGGCUUAGAAGCAGCCAUCUUUUAAAGAUAGCGUAACAGCUCACUGGUCAAGAGUUUUCGCGCCGAAAAUGUACCGGGGCUAAGCAGUGUACCGAAAUUACGAAUUCAUGAUCUCUUCGGAGCAUCAUGAGUGGUAGAGGAGCAUUCCUAUCUGCGUCGAAGCAGGAUCCGCGAGGGCCUGUGGAGCGAUGGGAAGAGAGAAUGCAGGCACAAGUAGCAAAAAUGCCAGUGAAAGUCUGGCACACCGAAAACCCAAGGUUUCCAGGGCAACGUGAAUCGUCCCUGGGUUAGUCGAUCCUAAGGCGAGGCCGAAAGGCGUAGUCGAUGGAAGAGCAGGUUAAUAUUCCUGCACUUGGUAUAGUUUGUUGUAUUGCCGCAUCUCAACGGCACGAGCGUUUUUUGGCUAUAGACGUUCCGCAAGGUAAAGACAACCUCUCCGGAGUGAGUCAAUUCGUGUUAGAGAGAUGCCUAGAAAAACAGUACAACGCUAGGCUAUAUCAAUCCGUACCGCAAACCGACACAGGUGGGUAGGUCGAGAAGACCAAGGUGUACGAGAGAAACAUGGUUAAGGAACUCGGCAAAACAGCGGCCGUAACUUCGGGAUAAGGCCUGCCCUGAGCAAUCAGGGCCGCAGCGAAAGACUACACGCGACUGUUUACCAAAAACACAGCUCUCUGCUAAAUCGUAAGAUGAUGUAUAGGGGGCGAUGCCUGGCCAGUGUCAGAACGUUAAAGGGAUGGGUUAUCCUUCGGGAGAAGCUUUGAACUGAAGCGCUGAUGAACGCCGGCGAUAACUAUAAUCGUCCUAAGGUAGCGAAAUUCCUUGUCGGGUGAGUUCCGACCCGCAUGAAUGGCACAACGAUGUGUAGACUGUCUUGACCAUGUACUCGGCGAAAAUGCAAUUGUCGUGAAGAUGCGACAUUGCCGCAGCAAGACGAAAAGACCCCGUGAAGCUUUACUACAGUUUGAUAUUGGUACAUUGCUUCAUAUGUUCAGCAUAGGUGGGAGCCUUCGGGCACCAGUGAGAUACCACCCUUAUGCUGUGAUGUACCUAAUCUAUUACCAUGAAUCUGGUAAUGGAGACAGUGUCUGAUGGGUAGUUUAACUGGGGCGGUUGCCUCCCAAAAUGUAACGGAGGCGUUUACAAAGGUUG
rnacentral:rRNA from 1 species